rnacentral:rRNA from 1 species
UACGUAGGGUGCGAGCGUUGUCCGGAAUUAUUGGGCGUAAAGAGCUUGUAGGCGGUUUGUCGCGUCUGCCGUGAAAUUUCGAGGCUCAACCUCGAACUUGCGGUGGGUACGGGCAGACUAGAGUGUGGUAGGGGAGACUGGAAUUCCUGGUGUAGCGGUGAAAUGCGCAGAUAUCAGGAGGAACACCGGUGGCGAAGGCGGGUCUCUGGGCAAUAACUGACGCUGAGGAGCGAAAGCGUAGGGAGCGAACAGG